UCCUAAUCUUGAAGGUUGAAGCAUACAUGUUUUGUGUUCAUGCGGUCUUCUUGAGUUAUGAUUUUGGUUGUCGCGGAGGAGGUAGUUCCGGAAGAAGGAACUAGUUGUUGAUUUAAAGC